rnacentral:rRNA from 1 species
ACCGGCGGCUCGAGUGGUGGCCACUAUUACUGGGCUUAAAGCGUUCGUAGCUGGCUUGUUAAGUCUCUGGGGAAAUCUUCCGGCUCAACCGGAAGGCGUCUCAGGGAUACUGGCAGGCUAGGGACCGGAAGAGGUGAGAGGUACUCCAGGGGGGCGCGUCACCGGCUGUGAUCCUAGGGGGAGCAACGGUGGCGGGGGCGGCACCACGGUUCAGCUACGUCUGUGUGGAGCCUAAGUUGCUACAGCAUACCU